rnacentral:rRNA from 1 species
UACGAAGGGGGCUAGCGUUGCUCGGAAUCACUGGGCGUAAAGCGCACGUAGGCGGAUUGCUAAGUCAGGGGUGAAAUCCUGGAGCUCAACUCCAGAACUGCCCUUGAUACUGGCGGUCUCGAGUCCGGGAGAGGUGAGUGGAACUGCGAGUGUAGAGGUGAAAUUCGUAGAUAUUCGCAAGAACACCAGUGGCGAAGGCGGCUCACUGGCCCGGUACUGACGCUGAGGUGCGAAAGCCAGGGGAGCGAACGGG